ACUCCUACGGGAGGCAGCAGUGGGGAAUAUUGCACAAUGGGCGCAAGCCUGAUGCAGCAACGCCGUGUGAGUGAAGUAAGGUUUUCGGAUACGUAAAACUCUGUCCGUAAGGGAAAGAAACAAAUGACGGUACCUUAGGAGGAACGCCCCGGCUAACUACGUGCCAGCAGCCGCGGUAAUACGGUAGGGGCAAGCGUUAUCCGGAAUCACGUGGGCGUAAAGGGUGCGUAGGCGGCUUAGCAAGCCAGGGGUGAAAGGCAUUGGCUCAACCAAUGUAAGCCUUUGGAACUGUUAAGCUUGAGUGCAGGAGAGGUAAGUGGAAUUCCUAGUGUAGAGGUGAAAUUCGUAGAUAUUAGGAGGAACACCAGUGGCGAAGGCGACUUACUGGACUGUAACUGACGCUGAUGCACGAAAGCGUGGGUAGCGAACAGGAUUAGAU
rnacentral:rRNA from 1 species